rnacentral:rRNA from 1 species
UACGAACUGUGCGAACGUUAUUCGGAAUCACUGGGCUUAAAGGGUGCGUAGGCGGCGGCUCAAGUCAGGUGUGAAAUCCCCCGGCUCAACCGGGGAACAGCGCUUGAAACUGGGUCGCUCGAGUGAGGCAGGGGUGUAUGGAACUUCCGGUGGAGCGGUGAAAUGUGUAGAGAUCGGAAGGAACGCCGGCGGCGAAAGCGGUACACUGGGCCUUGUCUGACGCUGAGGCACGAAAGCUAGGGGAGUGAACGGG